CCUACGGGGGGCAACAGUGGGGAAUAUUGGACAAUGGGGGCAACCCUGAUCCAGCCAUGCCGCGUGUGUGAAGAAGGCCCUCGGGUUGUAAAGCACUUUCAGUGAGGAAGAACGCCUGGUGGUUAAUACCCAUCAGGAAAGACAUCACUCACAGAAGAAGCACCGGCUAACUCCGUGCCAGCAGCCGCGGUAAUACGGAGGGUGCGAGCGUUAAUCGGAAUUACUGGGCGUAAAGCGCGCGUAGGUGGCUUGAUAAGCCGGUUGUGAAAGCCCCGGGCUCAACCUGGGAACGGCAUCCGGAACUGUCAAGCUAGAGUGCAGGAGAGGAAGGUAGAAUUCCCGGUGUAGCGGUGAAAUGCGUAGAGAUCGGGAGGAAUACCAGUGGCGAAGGCGGCCUUCUGGACUGACACUGACACUGAGGUGCGAAAGCGUGGGUAGCAAACAGGAUUAGAUACCCUAGUAGUC
rnacentral:rRNA from 1 species